rnacentral:rRNA from 1 species
UAAGCGGAGGAAAAGAAACUAACAAGGAUUCCCCUAGUAACGGCGAGUGAAGAGGGAAGAGCCCAAGAUUGAAAGCUGGCGCCUUCGGCGUCCGCAUUGUAAUCUCAAGAAGCAUUUUCCGCUUCGGACCAAGCCUAAGUCCCUUGGAAAAGGGCAUCGUAGAGGGUGAGAAUCCCGUACAUGGCUUGGAGCGCCCGAGGCUUUGUGAUAUGCAUUCUAAGAGUCGAGUUGUUUGGGAAUGCAGCUCAAAAUGGGUGGUAAAUGCCAUCUAAGGCUAAAUAUUGGGGAGAGACCGAUAGCGAACAAGUACCGUGAGGGAAAGAUGAAAAGAACUUUGAAAAGAGAGUUAAACAGUACGUGAAAUUGCCAAAAGGGAAGGGUAGGAGGUCAGAGAUGCGGCAUGGGAUUCAGCCUUGCUUUUGCUUGGUGUUUUUCCCAUUUUGCAGGCCAACGUCGGUUUUGGGCACUGGAGAAUGGUGGGAGGAAUGUGGCACUCUUCGGGGUGUGUUAUAGCCUCCUACUGGAUACAGCGACCGGGACCGAGGAACGCAGCGUACUCGAAAGAGCGGGCCUUCGGGCACCUUUACGCUUAGGGCGUUGGCAUAAUGACCCUCUACCACCCGUCUUGAAACACG